UACGUAGGUGGCAAGCGUUGUCCGGAUUUACUGGGCGUAAAGAGCGCGCAGGCGGUCGAUCAAGUCGCGUGUGAAAGCCCCCGGCUCAACUGGGGAGGGUCACGCGAUACUGAUCGACUCGAAGGCAGGAGAGGGUAGUGGAAUUCCCGGUGUAGUGGUGAAAUGCGUAGAUAUCGGGAGGAACACCAGUGGCGAAGGCGACUACCUGGC
rnacentral:rRNA from 1 species